rnacentral:rRNA from 1 species
UACAGAGGUCUCGAGCGUUGUUCGGAUUCAUUGGGCGUAAAGGGUGCGUAGGUGGCGUGGUAAGUCUGGUGUGAAAUCCCGGGGCUCAACCCCGGAACUGCACUGGAUACUGCCAUGCUUGAGUACUGGAGAGGAGAUUGGAAUUUACGGUGUAGCAGUGAAAUGCGUAGAUAUCCGAAGGAACAUCAGUGGUGAAAGCGGCUUCCUGGUCCAGCACCGACGUUCAGGCACGAAAGCGUGGGGAGCAAACAGG